AGCAACUUCUCGCCGCUUUUCUUUCGCGCCCGCGCCUCCCUGAACGCCGCCGCCCGCGCCUCCAUCCCUCCCCUGGCGGCGGAUCCAUGGAGACGAGCGAUGGCGCCGGUGGGGGAGGUCGGAGGAUACGGUGAGGGCCGGCAGCGGAUGCACGGCGACGCGUGGUGGCCCCAGUCAGGGCGGCGGCGGAUGCACAGCGACGGCGAGCCCCAUUGUCCAGUGCUUCUUUUGCUCUUGCUCCUGCUCACGCCAUGGCAGGCGCGGCGCCGCCCGCGCUGCGCAUGUCGCACACUCAAUUCAUCGAGCACCUCCGCCGCGCGGCCGCAUCCACCCGCGCCCCGCGCGCCGGCGAGGCCCUCCAUGGCUGGGCGGUCAAGUCCGGCGCCGCCUCCCACGCACCCGUCUCCAACUCCCUGAUCACCUUCUACUGCUCCCUCUCGCGGCCGCUCCUCGCGGCCGCCUUCGCCGUCUUCGAUGAUAUCCCCGCGGCCGCGCGCGACGUCGCCUCGUGGAACUCUCUUCUCAACCCGCUCUCCCGUCACCACCCCCUCGCCGCGCUCUCGCAGUUCCGCUUGAUGCUCUCUUCCUAUGACCGCGCCGUCCUCCCGACGCCACACUCCUUCGCCGCUGCGUUCACCGCCGCGGCCCGUGCGCCCUCCGCGUCUGCAGGCGCUGCAGCCCACGCGCUCGCGUGCAAGCUUCCCUCCGCCGCCACCGGCUCUGACAAUGUGUUCGUCUCUACUGCCCUGCUAAACAUGUAUUGUAAACUCGGUAUUACUUCCGAUGCCCGCAGUGUGUUUGACGGAAUGCCACAUCGGAAUGCGGUGUCUUGGACUGCUAUGGUGUCUGGGUAUGCUCUGGGGAAGUGUUCUGAGGAGGCGUUUGAGAUCUUCCAGCUGAUGCUUCAGGAGUGCCCCUUGGAGAAAAAUGAAUUUGUCACCACGGCGGUUCUUAGUGCAGUUAGCGUACCAUCAGGUUUGCUUAUGGGGGUGCAGGUGCACGGGUUGGUUGUGAAGGAUGGGUUGGUGGGAUUUAUGUCUGUGGAGAAUUCACUUGUCACAUUGUAUGCAAAAGCUGAGUGUAUGGAAGCAGCUCGGCAGGUGUUUGGGUCAUCGAAGGAGAGGAACUCAAUAACAUGGUCAGCGAUGAUCACUGGGUAUGCUCAGAAUGGGGAGGCAGAUAGUGCAGCUAGGAUGUUCUUACAGAUGCAUGCUGCAGGAUUCUCACCAACAGAAUUCACCUUUGUAGGGGUACUGAAUGCAUGCAGUGAUAUGGGAGCUUUGGCUGUUGGGAAGCAGGCACAUGGUUUGAUGAUGAAGCUUGGGUUUGAGAUGCAGGUUUAUGUGAAGAGCGCAUUGGUGGACAUGUAUGCCAAGUGUGGUUGUAUUGGUGAUGCAAAAGGCGGGUUUCAGCAGUUGUGUGAUGUUGAUGACGUUGUCCUUUGGACGGCGAUGAUUGCUGGGCAUGUGCAGAAUGGGGAGCUUGAGGAAGCACUGGUGUUGUAUGCCAAGAUGGACAAAGAGGGCAUCAUGCCCAGUAAUUUGACUAUCACUAGUGUUCUUAGAGCAUGUGCAUGCCUUGCAGCAUUGGAGCCAGGGAAGCAACUGCAUGCCCAAAUUAUUAAGUGUGGUUUUGGUUUGGGUGGUUCUGUUGGAAGUGCUCUGUCUACAAUGUAUUCAAAGUGUGGGAAUCUUGAAGAUGGCAUGGUUGUCUUCAGAAGCAUGCCUGAUAAGGAUGUUAUUGCAUGGAACUCAAUCAUUUCUGGUUUUUCACAAAAUGGGUGUGGCAAUGGUGCACUUGACCUGUUCGAGGAGAUGAAGCUAGAGGGCACUGCACCUGAUCAUAUAACAUUCAUUAAUGUAUUGUGUGCUUGUAGCCACAUGGGCUUAGUUGAUAGAGGUUGGUUUUAUUUUAGGGCAAUGACCAAAGAUUAUGAUUUAAUUCCUAGGCUUGAUCACUAUGCUUGCAUGGUUGAUAUUCUUAGCCGAGCAGGGCAGUUGAAAGAAGCAAAGGACUUCAUAGAGUCAAUAACUGUUGACCAUGGAACAUGCUUAUGGCGUAUAGUCCUAGGAGCAUGUCGCAGUUUACGGGAUUUCAAUGUUGGAGCAUAUGCAGGUGAAAAACUGAUGGAGUUAGGUUCUGAGGAUUCCUCUGCUUAUAUAUUGUUGUCAAACAUCUAUGCUGCCCAGAGCAAGUGGAUUGACGUUGAGCGGGUGAGACGUUUGAUGAGACUCCGAGGAGUUAGCAAGGAUCUAGGGUGUAGCUGGGUUGAACUUAAUUGCCAAGUUCAUGUGUUCGUUGUUGGGGAACAGCAGCAUCCUGAAGCAACAAAUAUAAAUGUGGAGUUGAUGAGGCUAGCCAAACACAUGAAGGAUGAAGGGUAUCAUCAAACUUGUAAAUUCCCCUUUGAUGAAGAACUGGAUGCACUUGGAGAAUCUCCUGAAGAAGAUCAACUGGAAUUGAUAUCAGCAGCUUAUAGUUGAGUUCCCAAGAGAUAAGGAAGUGUUGCAUCUUGCUGGUAGCAAGGAGCAACUGAUCAUUUCUCAAAGAGCCAACUUUGCUGGUACUACUAACACAUGGAGCCAAUGUUUUGUUGACUAGACUGUUGAAGUGCACACAUGCUAUCAGUCUGCCAGUCUGGACCCUUCAGCACUGUGGUCCUCCGCUUGCUCUGGGUGUAAUAAUCUGGAAGAGUUGGGCUCCUGGCAAGUGUAAAUUUUUCUUGUGGUUGGUUGCUCACAACAAAUGCUGGACGGCUGAUCGGCUUGCCAAGAGGGGUUUGCCUCACCCUGAACGAUGUCCCUUUUGCGACCAAGAGGAGGAGACUACAAAUCACCUGCUGUUGUCCUGUGUCUUUUCACGCCAGACAUGGUUCAGUAUUUUACAAGGACUCGGCCUGCAGGUAUUAGCCCCAGAACCUGAAGAAGGCUCCUUUGAUGAUUGGUGGGACAAGGUGAGCAGCAGGGUGGAUGGUCAGGUUAAACAGGGGCUCAAUUCAAUUAUAAUCUUGGUGGCCUGGUUGCUCUGGAAUCAUCGCAAUCGCUGCUUGUUUGACGGUCUGCAGCCUAACCUGAAUGGAAUUCUAUCUUUUAUUAGGGAGGAGCUGCAUAUGUGGGAUAUUGCUGGGGCUCGAGGAAUUGCUUACCUCCUCGCCCUGUUGCUAGAUGGAUAGGCUUAAGUCUUCUGGUCAAGUUGUUUUUUCAUAGUUAAGGGUAAUAGAGUUUGUGUUGUGGUUUCUCCAGGUUUUCCCCCUAAAACCUGUGUAUUGGUGACUGGGGUUCUACACCCUUCUUCUUCUUAAUAUAUAGAUGCACAA